rnacentral:tRNA from 2 species
AAGAGGGGUCUGGGACACAAAGAACUGCUAAUUCUUUUAUUCAUGGUUCAAAUCCAUGGCUCACUUG